GCUGCAACUCGCCUACAUGAAGUCGGAGUUGCUAGUAAUCGCGGAUCAGAAUGCCGCGGUGAAUGCGUUCCCGGGUCUUGUACACACCGCCCGUCACACCAUGGAAGUUGGGGGCGCCCGAAGUUGCCUAAGAAAUAAGGUACCUAAGGCGAAACCAAUGACUGGGGUGAAGUCGUAACAAGGUACC
rnacentral:rRNA from 1 species